AUGCAAUCCAGCCUUAGUUGCCUUCUCCAUCCUCGGACAGUGAGAUCCAACAUGCCCCGAGCUCCACGCGCCCAGCGCCCGAGCCCCACAGACGAGCGUCUCCCGCUCCCUCCUCGAUCCAGAUCGAGAAGAGCUCGAUCCCGAGCUCCGCGACCUCGCCGUACCUCCUCCUCGCCUCGUCGCCAACGAGCCGCCUCGCCAGAGCACGCCGCCAGGACAGUUUCACUUCAUGUAGCUACUACACCAGGAGAAUUGUAUCCUUGCGCUGAGGAAAAUGUUAUGCCGACCGUGGCCAAGUGCCCUGAACUCACCUAUGCCUGGUAA
rnacentral:rRNA from 1 species